rnacentral:rRNA from 1 species
AGUCAUAUGCUUGUCUCAAAGAUUAAGCCAUGCAUGUCUCAGUACAAGCCGCACUAAGGUGAAACCGCGAAAGGCUCAUUAAAUCAGUUAUGGUUCCUUAGAUCGUACCCACACUUACUUGGAUAACUGUGGUAAUUCUAGAGCUAAUACAUGCAAACAGAGCUCCGACCGGAGACGGGAGGAGUGCUUUUAUUAGAUCAAAACCAAUCGGAGGCGGCGGCGUUCGCGCGUCGCCGUCAACCGCUCAACCUGGUGACUCUGAAUAACUUUCCGCUGAUCGCACGGUCUCGCACCGGCGACGCAUCUUUCAAAUGUCUGCCUUAUCAACUGUCGAUGGUAGGUUCUGCGCCUACCAUGGUCGUAACGGGUAACGGGGAAUCAGGGUUCGAUUCCGGAGAGGGAGCCUGAGAAACGGCUACCACAUCCAAGGAAGGCAGCAGGCGCGCAAAUUACCCACUCCCGGCACGGGGAGGUAGUGACGAAAAAUAACGAUACGGGACUCAUCCGAGGCCCCGUAAUCGGAAUGAGUACACUUUAAAUCCUUUAACGAGGACCAAUUGGAGGGCAAGUCUGGUGCCAGCAGCCGCGGUAACUCCAGCUCCAAUAGCGUAU